AUUGAACGCUGGCGGCAGGCUUAACACAUGCAAGUCGAGCGGGGACUUCGGUCCUAGCGGCGAACGGGUGAGGAAUGCUUGGGAAUCUGCCCAGUAGCGGGGGAUAACGCUUCGAAAGGAACGCUAAUACCGCAUACGCCCUACGGGGGAACGGGGGGGAUCUUCGGACCUCUCACUAUUGGAUGAGCCCAAGUCGGAUUAGCUAGUUGGUGGGGUAAAGGCCUACCAAGGCGACGAUCCGUAGCUGGUCAGAGAGGAUGAUCAGCCACACUGGAACUGAGACACGGUCCAGACUCCUACGGGAGGCAGCAGUGGGGAAUAUUGGACAAUGGGCGAAAGCCUGAUCCAGCCAUGCCGCGUGUGUGAAGAAGGCCUUCGGGUUGUAAGGCACUUUAAGCGAGGAGGAAUGGCUGAGGGUUAAUAACCUUCAGCAGUGACGUUACUCGCAGAAUAAGCACCGGCUAACUCUGUGCCAGCAGCCGCCGCGG
rnacentral:rRNA from 1 species